AGAUUGAACGCUGGCGGCAUGCUUUACACAUGGCAAGUCGAACGGCAGCACGGGGGGCAACCCUGGUGGCGAGUGGCGAACGGGUGAGUAAUGCAUCGGAACGUAUCCUUGAGUGGGGGAUAACGCAGCGAAAGUUGUGCUAAUACCGCAUAAGCUCUGAGGAGGAAAGCGGGGGACCGAAAGGCCUCGCGCGUUGAAAGGAGGCCGGCCGAUGUCCGAGUUAGGCUUAGUUGGUGAGGUAAAGGCUUACCAAGGCGACGAAUCGGUAGCUGGUCGUGAGAGGAUGAUCAGCCACACUGGGACUGAGACACGGCCCAGACUCCUAC
rnacentral:rRNA from 1 species